rnacentral:lncRNA from 1 species
GGUACUGGUGAUACUGGGAGCGCUGGGAGGUGACGUCAUCGUUAUACUGGGAGCGCUGGGAGAUGACGUCAUGGUGGUACUGGUCAUACUGGGAGCCGCCAUGUUGGUACUGGGAGCACUAGGAGCCGCCAUGUUGGUACUGGGAGCGGCCAUGUUGGUACUGGUGAUACUGGGAGCACUGGGAGAUGACGUCAUGGACAUACUGGACGUACUGGGAGCCGCCAUGUUGAUACUGGGAGUACUGGGAGAUGACGUCAUGGUCGUACUGGUCAAACUGGGAGCACUGGGAGCCGACGCCAUGUUGGUGCUGGUUAUACUGGUCAUACCGGGAGAUGACGUCAUGGUUGUACUGGUCAAACUGGGAGCACUGGUCAAACUGGGAGCAGCCAUACUGGUCACACCGGUGGCCUUGGUGACACUGGCACUGGUAGCACUGGUGACACCGGUGACACUGGAACUGGUCAAACUGGUGACACUGGGAGCGGUGACAUUGCUCAAACUGGUGACACUGGUGACACUGGAGCUGGUGACAUUGCUCAAACUGGUGGCACUGGGACCGGUGACACUGCUCAUACUGGUGA